UAAAAAAGUAGAUUAAGUACUUUCGGAAGUUUAAAAGUUUACUUAAGAAAGUCCGAUUUUUUUUUCAUUCUUUUGUAGCUUAACUUUUUUCAACUUAGAAACGUUUUUAUUAUUAUUAAUGACUAUUAUCAUCUGAUUGACCACUAUAAACUGAUAAAUGGUGGCAGCGAAACUCGUAAAUCAAUAGGAGGACUUUUUGAAAUUUUUGACAGAUGAUUAGGAGAAAAAACUCGCAAAAACGACUUAACUUUCGUUGCACACUCUUAAUCGCAGCUGCGCUGCUGAAAUUGAAAAAAUUAAAGUUCAGGAUUUCGAGUAAUAUUUUUGAUAAUUUUUUUUAACAGUGGAUAGCUAAAAAUAUUCCAAAGGUUUCAAAUGAAUGAACAAACUAGAUACGCCCAAAAAAAAUCCGAAUUUGCUUUGUUCAUUUUUGCAGCUGAAACAUUCUCUCACUUCUAAGCAUUUUAUUAUAAUUAAUUAAGCUUCCUAAUUAUAAGCUGAUGAAACUGUACAAACUGGUUCAAAUUUUUAAAAAACGUUAGCCUUUGUACCAAAAAUACCAUGCUUUGUUCGUAACUAAGAUAGCCAUUACCAAUUUGGGAAAUUAGGAUAACCAUUGAUAUUUUUUAGCGAAUCGUCAAAUACCUAUAGUACAACAGAAUAGAGGUUAUCAAGAUGUUUGAACCACGAGCUGAUUUCAGGAAAAUUCUAUUCUGAUCUUUUUUUAGAGUUUUCGAUUAUUGGUUGCUUUGAGAACAGUUUUGUUUGAAUCUACUAGCAGUUAUGAGGACAGCACUUUAUGAGAAUACCACUUUCCGACUAUUGGUUGCUUUGAGAACAGUUUUGUUUCAAUCUAGUAGCAGUUAUGAGGACACCACUCUUUGACUAUUGGUUGCUUUGAGGAUAGUUUUGUUCCAAUCUACUAGCAGUUAUGAGAUCACCAAUUUUCGACUAUUGGUUGCUCUGAGGACAGUUUCGUUUCAAUCUACUAGCACUUAUGAGGACAGCACGUUAUGAGGACACUGACAAAAAAAAAUUGUCUUCGAAUGUACAUUAAGUACUUUCGAAAGUUCAAAAGUUUACUUGAAGUCCGAUUUUUUCCAUUCUUUUGUAGCUUAAAAUUUUUCAAUUUUGAAUCUUUUUUAUUAUUAUUAAUGAUUAUAUCACCACUAUAAACCGAUAAAUGGUGGCAGCGAAACUGGUAACUCAAUACGAGGAUUUUUUGAAAUUUUUGACAGAUGAUUAGAAGGAAAAAUGACUUAACUUUCGUUGCACGCUCUUAAUCGCAUGCAGCUGCGUUGCUGCAAUUGAAGAAAUGAAAGUUCGGGAUUUCGAGCAAUAUUUUUGAUAAUUUAUUUUAAAAGUGAAUUGCUAAAAAUAUUCCAAAGGUUUCAAAUGAAUGAACAAAUUAGAUACGCCCAAGAAAAGUCCGAAUUUGCUUUGUUCAUUCCUGCAGCUGAAACAUUCUCUCACUUCUAAGCAUUUUUAUUAGAAUUUAUUAAGCUCUCUAAACGUAAGCUGAUAAAAGUGAACAAACUGUUUGAAAUAAAAAACAAAAAAUAUCAUCCUUUGUACCAAAAACACCAUGCUUCAUUCGUAACUCGGAUAACCAUUACGAAUUAAUUUGGGAAACUAGGAUAACCAUUGAUCCUUUUAAGCCCAUCGUGAAUUUUCUAUAGUACAAUACAAUAGAUAUUAUCAAGAUGUUUGAACCAUGAUCUGAUUUCAGGAAUGUCCUAUUCUGACCUUUUUAUUACUGUUUUUGACCAUUGGUUGCUUUGAGGACAGUUUGUUUUAAUCUACUCGCAGUUAUGAGGACAGAUGCUAUAUAUUGCUAUUUCACGGAUAAAAAAUUUCGGAAGGGCGAGUGGACGAGCGAGAAUGAUAAUUUCAGUCGCAGUUUCAUUGUCAGUCGAAAACAACGCUGUUGUGCAUGAACCUCCCCUGUGCUGGUAUUUUUUGAAACAGGACCAUUUCCUUCGUGUCAGAAGUACGGUGACUUAACGAAUUACAUAGCGCGGAAGUUCUUGCUAGAAACGUUCAUAAAAUUACACUGGAGAAAACAGAAAAAGAUUGUGGAUUUCCAAGACCGAUUGACGGUUGUGAGAUGGGAUCCGAAGGAAAUGAACCUGAAAAUCAUCCUCACGAAUAUAGCUGCAAAAUAUUAGAUAUUUCACAAGGCUCAGAACUGUCAGAGGACAGCUCUAGUGAAAAGAAUGAUGAAACUCAGAGUGAUUAUGAAUCAAACGCUUUUAGCACAGAUACUGAACCCGACGAUGGAGAUUAUUAUUUUCUCGUUUCCUCGGCGGAAGAUUCUUCGGAUGAAUCAUAAGCGAAGGAUGCUGCGGAAGACUUGAAGCUAGUGUUUCGAAUGGCAGUUCGAAAAUAUUUUCGUGAUCUGUUCGAUGAUUAACAUAGCGGAAAAAUAAGCAUACACCACUUAUUUCAUCAUUUUAAUUCCCGUCUAUAUUUUUUUUCAAAAUGCAUUUUAAAAUGUGUAAUACUUUGACUUUAUAAAAUGGUUUGCCAAAUAAUUUAAUUUGAAUUCAUCACAAAGGUAUUGAAGCGAAACACCGACUCGAGAACUUUAUUUCGAGGACAUGGCACGCACGAGUGUUUACAC